CGGCCUCAGAAUCUAUCCCCUGCAUCUGCCUAGUAGUAGGGAGUUGCGAAAGCUCCUGAAGAGAAUGGAGAGGGAGAGCAUACCAUCCAGGAGAGAAAUUCAGAGCUCUUAUUGCGAGUGAAGAGCUAAAAAUGAAAAUACUGGAUUUCCCCAAAGAAAGUGGCAGAUUUCCUCAUUUCCAGGACUGUUGCUGUGGUUUGCAUUACAAAUUUUCCAAGAUUGAGCCUGCAAGAACCCAUGUCUUCUCCCAAUGAAAUGAAGCGUUCUGACUCAGGUUCCAG
rnacentral:lncRNA from 1 species